GACGUAGGGCGCAAGCGUUGUCCGGAUUUAUUGGGCGUAAAGAGCUCGUAGGCGGCUCGUUGCGUCGGCUGUGAAAACCCGCAGCUCAACUGUGGGCCUGCAGCCGAUACGGGCGGGCUAGGAUUCGGUAGGGGAGACUGGAAUGCCUGGUGUAGCGGUGAAAUGCGCAGAUAUCAGGAGGAACACCGGUGGCGAAGGCGGGUCUCUGGGCCGAUAUAGACGCUGAGGAGCGAAAGCGUGGGGAGCGAACAGG
rnacentral:rRNA from 1 species